rnacentral:lncRNA from 1 species
GUCGCCUUGGACUGUUUUAGGCUGCAAGGAGCUGCACAUGCCCCUCGGUUCUUCCCUUCCUCACUAUUUUACUGGUCCCUGGGCCAGGGGUUGGGCUGGAAUGGGGCACCCCUUGCUGCAUCUAGGGGUGGAGGGGACCGGCUGGAGGAGAUGGUGUUCCCCCCCCCCAGUGGGGCAGGGGUGCUGCAGCUACCUGUCUGGACACAUCCUUAGUGCCUGGGAACCCCGGAGCCACCCUGAGGCCCGGGUCCCUUUCAUCCCCCUUCUCAUGCUCCUGCCCCUAGGGUUUCCGGAGAGAGCUGAGAUGAGGUGGGGGAGGCCGGUGGUCCCUCUUAGAGGGAGUGUCUUAUCUAGCUUGGAGAGUUGCUGAAAUAACUCCUUUGAUGUGCCUCCUUAUUAACCCUUCCAGACCUGGUCUGAUAGGGCCACAAAGGAAGAGGGGACAACUUCUAAGUCAGAGUUGUGGGUGGAUGACAGAGUUAGAUGGUAGGUAGGGUGAGCAGAGAAGUCCCUUUCUAAAAUGAGAGAUAGGAAUGGGGGAGGACUGCAGAUAGAAGAAACUAACCUUACCCUCUUUAACUUUGGUUCAGUCCUUAACUCUUGGUCAUUUAAAAAAUCAGGUGCAGUUAGUCCACCUGCCCCAUUCAUUACCCUAGGUAGGAUUUUAAGGCAGCCAAUAGCACCAGCUCUAGAGUUGAUGUAGUUCCUUAUCCUAGGUCCCCAUCAUCUGCCUUCCUCUUGGGAUGGAAGGGAGAGAGUUACUUAGGCUGGUUGGGGAUAGGUAAGGGUGUCCCUGCAGAGGGACCCAACA